rfam:Ictidomys tridecemlineatus contig106518, whole genome shotgun sequence.
GGGGCUGGGGCUCAGUGGUAGAGCACUCGCCCUGCAUGUGCGAGACCCUGGGUUCCAUCCUCAGCACCACCU